UAAAGAAUUAACCAUAUCGGAGUGAGAUCCUUCCCUGAGUAGACUGAAACCGAGAUGUAACUGUCUUGAGCAGAUGCAGGUAUUUUCUGCGUAAUGCUGUGCAUAAGAAUAAAGAAAAUGAGGUACAAAUGGACCAUCUGGGAAGGCCAGGCUGUUCCCUUGAGUCACCACGGAGAGAAGUUUUGGGAGGGAAGGAAGAGGAAAUGGGAAAAGAUGCCUCACUAUUUGUGAGAAUAGAAAGGGAGCCCAGGAAUUCUGAGGCUUGUACCCCUGGGCCGUCAGUUUGAGAGUGGCUGAGGCUGUAAACAAUCACUUG